UAUUUUUUUUUUGCAUUUUUAACACUUUAUAUGAAAAGCUCACCUUUUACUAAAGAUUACAAAAUUGGUAUGCUGGUCUCUCCCACAUAGGAGUUGCCCUCCCCUGCAAUUGCUAUUUCGAGUUUCAUCAGCUAGGAAGGAAUUCUUUAAUUAUGGACUGUAACCUGCUUAAUUCACUUGGGCAAACCUGUUUUCCUAGGUUCAAGGUGGAAAAUAUCGAUGGAGUUAGAGGAAAUAUGACUUCAUAUAAAUCAAGAAUAGGUUUCUGUAGGGUGCAUACAUUAUUUUCAGUCCCUAAUUGGAAACUCAGCAUCCCAUGUACUUCUUGGAAAAUAUUUUGUGCCCCUGAAAAUUUGGAGGAGCGAUCUUCACUGGUAGUAUCCGAGAAAAUAGAAGACGCUGGUCUGUCUGUUCCUGAGCAACCUUUGAGAACCGAAGAGUUGAAGUUAUUGCUUGCUGAUGCUGAAAGAUCGAAGCUUCUCAAGAAAUUGAGUGAAGCCAACCGAUAUAAUCGGUUGCUUAAGCGAGAGUUGCAAGCUAAGGAGGAUGCGAUGGUUAAUUUCAAAAGUGAACUUUCAGUCACCGAACUUGAGAUUCAGGCUUUGGCUAGAUUGGCUGAAGAAAUUGCAAAAUCUGCUAUCCCUGCUGGUUCAAGAAAAAUUAAAGGCAGAUAUAUCCAGUCACACCUAUUUUCACGUUUGGAAGCCAUAAGUGAAAAAUUGAAGGAGCAAAUAAAGGGUGUGGAAGCUGUACAAGCCAAAGAGGUUCCUUUAUCCUGGGUUGGGGUAGCAGAGAGUGUGCAAGUAAUGGGCUCCUUUGAUGGUUGGAGUCAAGGAGAGCACUUAUCUCCAGAGUACACCGGCUCUUAUAUGAACUUUUCAGCUACAUUGUUCCUAAGACCUGGAAGGUACGAAAUUAAGUUCUUGGUAGAUGAUGAGUGGAAACUAUCCCCAGAAUUACCAACUACCGGAGAGGGGUUAACUAAGAACAAUUUAUUGGUCGUGGAAUAGCUCAUUUAGCUAGGACAGGUGCUGAAAGUUUGUACUAUACGUGGAAAAACAACUUGUUAAUCGUCUUACAGUUGAUCUCAGGACUCUUAAGCAGUGUAGCUCAUGAGGUGGGAUUGCUCAAGACAUCUAAUUCGCUCGACCUACUAUUAACUCAAAGUGUUGAAGGUAUAUAUAAUAGACCAGAGCUCCUAAAGUGGUGGUAUAAAGGGCGAUCAAGACUUCCGUUUUUCUCUUAUAAAGUCUUGAGUUGAAUGUUCAGACUCUUUCGAAAAUGUUUGGAAGCUUUUGGUAAAAAGGUUUAUUUUUUAAAAAAAGUGAGGUAUUUGGCUGAGCUUUUGAAGGAAAUAAAAAGUUUAGUUUUCCCUUUUA